UAGACAGGUGGGCGGGGAAGGAGGAGGGGCGCCGGCGGAGCCGAUCAAAUAGUCUUUCUACGGGUCGGCAGCCCGGCUUCUGCUGGGUCCUAACACCAAGAAGCAGGUGGAGUCUUGGCGCCCUCUAGCUGCUACGUAGCGUCAGCAACUCGAGCGGGCUCCUCCGGAGCGUUCAAGGCCUGGCUUAGAGGAGCAGGGCUCUUUACAAAGCGAAUCCUAAUAAUUCCAAGGCCUGAGAAGAAGAGUGAGGUGGGAGAAGAAGAGCAGAGUUCUGGCACAAAGUGGGAAGAGGUGGCAGGUGUGAUAGGCCACUGUGCCAGGGGAAGGCCUGUGGGCCCAGAGACUUCAGUGGCAAGGUGUUCCCACCAGAGAAGGCUUUAAAAGAACCCCUCUUUAUGGAGGAGUGGGAAUGGGCAGAAGAGGGAAUGUUUUUGGUGUGUGACUAGAGGAGUCCAAGCAACAAAGAACAUGAGUGCAACCAGCAUGACCCUGAGCAGCCAGAUACCCUCCCUGAGAAAUCUAAGCGAUCUCAGAGGAGACAGCAGCUAAGAAGAGGAAAAUGUCGCCAAAAAAACACUGUACACGAGAACUCCCCAAAGGAAAGAUGGUGAAAUGAAGAGACCUCAUGAGCUACAGAAUUUCAGACCCAGGAUGUCUUAGAAAACAACAGAUCAGUCACACUCUCUUACAGGGGUAAUGCAGAGGCAGAAAGCUAGAUGAGAUGACUUGAAGACUACUUCCAGCAUUAUAAGUCUGUGAAAGAAUCAGGACAUGCAAUAGCCUAAUUUCUACCAGGAUUUCCAGGAUGUGACUAUUAACCUAUAACAUGGAGUGAGGGAGGACACAAGAGCCUGAGAUCUGCUUAAGCUGUAAGUGCUGGCCUUUUGCUUCCACAACACCUUGUUCUUAAAGGACACCAGGCAACAGCAAUAGCAGGAACAAUCUCCUACCCUCAUGGGUUGUCUUCUCUAUUGUUUGAGAUACAAAUGGUGCCCUCAAUGCCCAGAACCCAGUCCUAGCUAAAGCUUCACUCACACACCAUGACUGAACUCCCUGACUGCCACUGAAACCACGACUUCCAAUGUGAAUCUGCCCUGAUGGAUAUGAAGCUGCAGGAGAAACCAGAGGCCCUCUAUGGGGCCUGCUAAGGGGUUCUGUGUGUACCUUUGGAAAGUGACCUCUUAAUCUUCUGCUAACAGGAGGAACUGUAAAGAAGUCCCAAAAGAAUGGCCUCUGAACUAUCCAGUCUGGUUUGGGAAUAUUCCACAGUCCUUACUUGCAAGGUCUGGAACUUUCUGUCUGCAAGUUCAUGAUACUUGAUCCAUUACAGCCACAGGGUAAAGAACUAUUAGUAUGUUCUCUCUCUCCCUCUCUCUGAUCAUGGUUUAGCAAAUUCUCACACUUUCCCUAGGGAUAAAAAAAUAAAAAUGGAAGAAACAAAGGGCUGAA